rnacentral:pre_miRNA from 1 species
GGGAUACUCCCUCCGAUCCAUAUUAAUUGUCAAAAUAUUACAUGUAUCUAGGCACUUUUUAGGCAUAGAUACAUCCAUAUUUAGGCAAAUUUGAGACAACUAAUAUGGAUCGGAGGGAGUACUAG